rnacentral:rRNA from 1 species
AGUGAACGCUGGCGGUAGGCCUAACACAUGCAAGUCGAACGGCAGCACAGUAAGAGCUUGCUCUUACGGGUGGCGAGUGGCGGACGGGUGAGGAAUACAUCGGAAUCUACUUUUUCGUGGGGGAUAACGUAGGGAAACUUACGCUAAUACCGCAUACUACCUACGGGUGAAAGCAGGGGAUCUUCGGACCUUGCGCGAUUGAAUGAGCCGAUGUCGGAUUAGCUAGUUUGCGGGGUAAAGGCCCACCAAGGCGACGAUCCGUAGCUGGUCUGAGAGGAUGAUCAGCCACACUGGAACUGAGACACGGUCCAGACUCCUACGGGAGGCAGCAGUGGGGAAUAUUGGACAAUGGGCGCAAGCCUGAUCCAGCCAUACCGCGUGGGUGAAGAAGGCCUUCGGGUUGUAAAGCCCUUUUGUUGGGAAAGAAAAGCAGCAGGUUAAUACCCCGCUGUUCUGACGGUACCCAAAGAAUAAGCACCGGCUAACUUCGUG